rnacentral:lncRNA from 1 species
UCAAGUUCGAUUCCUUAAAAUUCGCAUUCUUUUUCAUCGUGUUCCGCCAUCGUUAAUUGCAGUUGAACAUCCAUCUUGUCGUAUAAGGUUAGGUUACUCAGUCUUACUCAAUCGACCACACUUUUUGUUUGUUAUUUUUGUUUAUGUCAGUGUGAUAUUAUCGUCUGAUUUUGGGGAUUAUGUUGUUAUUGUUGUUGUUUUGAUUUAACUGACAGUAAUGUUUACUCGGUCUGUGGUGUGUCUAAUAUUUGCAGGAGAGGUAUCUAGAUGUGUUGUUGUUGUGUUGGUUUUGCUGAUACAACUUCUUUGAGAUUGUCUUCCUUCUUGGUUUGGGAGUAUAGGUGUAAUUUCUGAACAGGAAUGANNN